CACUACAGAAAACCCUAACCCCAAAAUAACCCAGGGAGUAGAAGAAAGAGAGAGAGAAGAUGAAGAAAAACCCGGCGCCGUCGAGUUUUUCCGUGUGAUUAUGAGCGCUCCACACUCCGGCAACCUCCGUCCGACCAAUGGCCGUGCGCAAAGAGGACGAAGUCUAGGUUGUUUAUGGUACCUCAUGGUCGGAAAUUCUUCUUGGAAGCUCGGUAUUCAGGUUGUGGGAGCAUUAGUAUUAGUAGCAGAAACAUGAAUUAUGACCCUUCACAGUUGCCACCUGACUGUCCACGGACCUGCUCCUUUAACAGGACCUUCUUUUCUGCUCCGGUGAUAUGGGGGUUGGUGGGUCCGCGCAGGAUCUUUGGAGGCAUGGGGUACUACUCACAUAUGAACUGGUUCUUCCUAGCAGGAGCCUUGGAAUGGAAAUGUUUGCUGAUGAAACUUAUGAUGUUGUUCUGGAUAAGGGGGAUUGGAUGCAUUGAUGGAGCCAGAGUUUGGUUCCAAGUUGGGUGAUCAAUAUCUAUCAGAGAAUAGGGUUUGUGAAUGGCUUUUUACCUCAGAAGGACAAUGGAUGGUGGUUGAGAGUGCUAAGGCUGCUUGACUGAUUUUCUUAAACUCUAGUCAUGCUAACCUUGGGAUGAAAGAAAUUCAGAAAGAUCGAUCUUUCUCCUCUCGUGAAGCUGUUGGAACAUGAGAACCAUGGUAGUGGCACUAAAAUUUUAUGCUAGAAAUUACUUUGACUUGCCUGCUUGAAGGACGCUAAGUCUCAGAGAAAGUACAUCCAAAUUCUUCUACAUUUGACAAGUCAGAUGUCUAUGCUAAAUUCUGGAGGCAAUUGCAGAUGCUAUUGAAGAAGAUGUUGGUCGAAUCUCUAUCAGCAGGUCCAAAUAAAACGGCUGUUGCUUCACAUGAACCAAUACCAUAAUCAAAGAGGUUAGGAGGUGACGAGAAAUUAAAAGAGUUCCACCAAUUGCAAAGCUUUUUGGAAAUUAGAGCUUAUAGGAUGUCAAAGCUUUCCGGCCUCAUUCGUUAAAAAGAUCAGUUGUUUUUAUAGUUUUUAUAUUUGGCUAGAGGAAUAUAUACCCCAUGAUUUACAUGGUUUAUUUGUAAUGACCUUGAUUUUUGGCUGUUAAAUAAAAUCAUCAAAAUGGUU